GAUGAACGCUGGCGGCGUGCCUAAUACAUGCAAGUCGAGCGAACGGACGAGAAGCUUGCUUCUCUGAUGUUAGCGGCGGACGGGUGAGUAACACGUGGAUAACCUACCUAUAAGACUGGGAUAACUUCGGGAAACCGGAGCUAAUACCGGAUAAUAUUUUGAACCGCAUGGUUCAAAAGUGAAAGACGGUCUUGCUGUCACUUAUAGAUGGAUCCGCGCUGCAUUAGCUAGUUGGUAAGGUAACGGCUUACCAAGGCAACGAUGCAUAGCCGACCUGAGAGGGUGAUCGGCCACACUGGAACUGAGACACGGUCCAGACUCCUACGGGAGGCAGCGGUAGGGAAUCUUCCGCAAUGGGCGGAAGCCUGACGGAGCAACGCCGCGUGAGUGAUGAAGGUCUUCGGAUCGUAAAACUCUGUUAUUAGGGAAGAACAUAUGUGUAAGUAACUGUGCACAUCUUGACGGUACCUAAUCAGAAAGCCACGGCUAACUACGUG
rnacentral:rRNA from 1 species